rnacentral:rRNA from 1 species
CAUGAAGCCGGAAUCGCUAGUAAUCGCGGAUCAGAAUGCCGCGGUGAAUACGUUCCCGGGUCUUGUACACACCGCCCGUCACACCAUGGGAGUUGGAAAUGCCCGAAGUCAGUGGCCCAACCGGAAGGGGGGAGCUGCCGAAGGCAGGUUCGAUGACUGGGGUGAAGUCGUAACAAGGUAGC